UGGGGAAUAUUGGUCAAUGGGCGAAAGCCUGAACCAGCAAUGCCGCGUGAGUGAUGAAGGCCUUCGGGUUGUAAAGCUCUGUCGGGAGGGACGAAAAAGCGGAUUAACAAACCGCAUUGACGGUACCUCCAAAGGAAGCACCGGCUAACUCUGUGCCAGCAGCCGCGGUAAUACAGAGGGUGCAAGCGUUGUUCGGAAUUACUGGGCGUAAAGCGCGUGUAGGUGGCGAGAUAAGUCGGGUGUGAAAUCCCUUGGCUUAACCAAGGAAGUGCAUUCGAUACUGUUUCGCUUGAGUACCGGAGGGGAUGGCGGAAUUCCCGGUGUAGAGGUGAAAUUCGUAGAUAUCGGGAGGAACACCUGUGGCGAAGGCGGCCAUCUGGACGGUCACUGACACUGAGACGCGAAAGCGUGGGUAGCAAA
rnacentral:rRNA from 1 species